rnacentral:rRNA from 1 species
GACGAACCGUGCGAACGUUGUUCGGAUUCACUGGGCUUAAAGGGCGCGUAGGCGGGUUACCAAGUCAGGGGUGAAAUCUUUCGGCUCAACCGGAAAAGUGCCCCUGAUACUGGUAGUCUUGAGGGAGGUAGGGGCAUGUGGAACUUCCGGUGGAGCGGUGAAAUGCGUAGAUAUCGGAAGGAACGCCGGUGGCGAAAGCGACGUGCUGGUCCUCUUCUGAUGCUGAGGCGCGAAAGCCAGGGGAGCGAACGGG